CCUACGGGAGGCAGCAGUGAGGAAUAUUGGUCAAUGGUCGGGAGACUGAACCAGCCAAGCCGCGUGAGGGAGGAAGGUACAGAGUAUCGUAAACCUCUUUUGUCAGGGAACAAAGACUGGGACGCGUCCCCGGAUGAGGGUACCUGAAGAAAAAGCAUCGGCUAACUCCGUGCCAGCAGCCGCGGUAAUACGGAGGAUGCGAGCGCUAUCCGGAUUUAUUGGGUUUAAAGGGUGCGCAGGCGGUCUGUUAAGGCCGCGGUCAAAGCCCGGGGCUCAACCCCGGCCCGCCGUUGAAGCUGGCAGUG
rnacentral:rRNA from 1 species